rnacentral:rRNA from 1 species
GCUAAGCCGGGGCCGGGGGCGGGGGUGAUACGGAGGGUGCAAGCGUUAAUCGGAAUGACUGGGAGGAAAGCGGACGCAGGCGGUCUGUCAAGUCGGAUGGGGAAUCCCCGGGCUCAACCUGGGAACUGCAUUCGAAACUGGCAGGCUAGAGUCUUGUAGAGGGGGGUAGAAUUCCAGGUGUAGCGGUGAAAUGCGUAGAGAUCUGGAGGAAUACCGGUGGCGAAGGCGGCCCCCUGGACAAAGACUGACGCUCAGGUGCGAAAGCGUGGGGAGCAAACAGGAUUAGAUACCCUAGUAGUC